CGUCUAGGCGGUUCGGUAAGUCGUUUGUGAAAUCCCUCGGCUCAACCGAGGAUGGUCUUGCGAUACUGCCGGGCUUGGGUGCAGGAGAGGAGAGUGGAACUCACAGAGUAGCGGUGGAAUGCGUAGAUACUGUGAGGUACCCCCGAUGGCGAAGGCAACUCUCUGGCCUGCCACCGACGCUGAAGCGCGAAAGCGUGGGGAGCAAAGG
rnacentral:rRNA from 1 species